AAUUAGGUCAAAUUGUGGAAGUGCUAUUACUACCCCUUUUGCCUCUCUAAAUUAAAAUGAAUGAAUGAAACGAGGGAGGGUUUUGUUUGAAGCUAUAAACAGAAACAGAAAGUUCAGCAGCCGAACACCUCCAUCUCCAUCGCAGCAGCAGCAGGUUCUGCUGAUGGAUCAAUCGGAGCGUUACUGCUACAACCCUUCGUUGCAUUGGAAUCCUCAAGUUGAAGACUAUUUCUGCAAAGCUUAUGGACCACAAGCUUUCUCUCGCAUCUCCAAAGCACUAACGAGACCCUCUUGUUACUCUUGUAUACGGGUAAAUACACUGAAGGCAACAACUGAAUCCGUCAUUGAGAAGAUUCUAGAAAUUCAACAUGAAAAGAAACUGCAGGAGCAGGACGCUUUAAACAAUCUGCAUACGGACGCUGAUAAAUCAGUUGAAGUAUCUAAAACGGUCAACGGUUCCACCGCAGAAACUAACCCUGUUUUCAAGUGUCCGAUACCCGGGCUAGACUAUGUUGUAUUUGUAAAGGGUUCGGGGCCCCACGAUAUUCAAUAUGAUUAUCAACAAGACAGACCUCCAAAGGAGGUAAUCGUCAGCCGUAAAUGCGCAGAGGCUGUUCUUCGAGGUGCUCAGGUAUAUGUGCCGGGUAUAUUAGCUUGCAGUGCUCAUGUUGAAAAAGGGGAUAAAGUUGCAGUUUCGGUUGGUGUUGAACAGCCCGGUCGUAACGGUGAAUGGGCUACGGGAAUUACACGCGGGAUUGUCCUACAAGGACUUAAAACAGAUCCUCAAUAUAUUGAAAGAGAUGGGUUAUAUAUCGGCCAAGGAAUUACGAUGUUAUCAAGGGCGGGAAUAUUUCGUGGCUUGUCUGGUCUUGGUGUGGAUAUGACUGAUAGAGUGUUUAGAUUGGCAUCCUUCAACGAUGUGCUCAAGGGGGACAUAUUUCUUCAAAACCUACCAAGCAUUAUUACUGCACAUGUCUUAGAUCCGCAACAGGGAGAAAGAAUACUAGACAUGUGUGCGGCCCCUGGUGGAAAAACAACUGCAAUUGCUUCACUUAUGAAGGAUAAAGGAGAAGUGACUGCAGUUGAUAGGUCUCAUAAUAAGGUGCUCGAGAUCCAUAAUCUGGCUGCAGAAUUGGGAUUAAAUAGCAUAACCGCAUAUAAACUAGACGCCCUAAAAGCCGUUCGCAAGGACAAAUCAAACAGCACGGUGACACAAUCUUCUAUUGAAGAUAAGUUAAGUCAAACGAGUCAACAGGCUGAGUCAGCAAAUUUUGUUAACGGAGAAUUAGUAUCUCCUGCAACGGAAGACAACAAGAUUUAUGAUGAGGAAAUGAAAAAAGGUCCUUAUACAAGUAAAGCCGAAAUAAGGAAACAAAUCCGAAGAAUGAAAAAUGGUCCCGGGAAAAAUCAAGCGACAGGUGGCAGGGUGAAUAAAUGUGAGGGUUUUUUACCAAAUAGUUUCGAUCGGGUUCUUCUUGAUGCUCCUUGUUCUGCUCUUGGAUUGAGACCGCGUUUGUUUGCCGCAGAGGAAACGAUUGAAUCGUUAAGGAGGCAUGGGAAGUAUCAGCAACGAAUGUUUGAUCAGGCGGUUCAGCUAGUUCGCCCAGGUGGAGUUAUCGUAUACUCCACAUGCACGAUAAAUCCAGGUGAAAACGAGGCUCUUGUUCGUUAUGCUUUAGACACGUAUAAGUUUCUUUCAUUGGCACCACAGCACCCUAAAGUCGGGGGGCCUGGAUUACUCGGUCGUUAUGAAUCAUCCGAUGGAUAUUUUGAAAACUUUUAGUGGGGCGCGUUCAAUAUAUAACCAUCUACAAUUAGAGAACUGCGACAACUGCAUAAGCACCUGUUCGGUUGUAUGUGGUCAUAUCCGGUUUAGUGGAUGAGAGAGUGGCGGUUAUGCGAUUACGUAACCGCUUUAGGGAAUGGUUAAAACCUGGUGAAGAAGAUCUGGUCCAGAGGUUUGAUCCUUCAGGCCCACAUGAUACAAUUGGAUUUUUCAUAGCUAAAUUCAAUGUUGGGCCCAAAGAGGCCUAGGUUUAUAUAGAAAAUUGGCCCACAUCUAUCAUAUUUUUGUGGAAUUUUGGGCACACAUUUAGAUGGGUUAUCAAACAUAGUGAGCUUUGGAUUAUAGACAAGUCAUUCUGUCACUGUAUUUUAGAAAUUGGAAUUGUUGGUUACAUGGAAGUGUUA